CUCAACUCUCUUCAGUUUUCGUUCUGUUCACCCAGAUUUCCUGUUCAGUUUGAAUCUGACUUGCUUUAGUUUAGUUCGUUCAGUUCCAUUCUGAUGACGGAACGCUCCUGCCCAAUUCAGACCACGUUUUCAUCCUGAUUUGGUUCUACUUUGCUUCAGUUUUGCUCUUUCAUUUUGCCCCCGGAGUUCUUUUUUCGUUCUGUUCACCCAGAUUUCCUGUUCAGUUUGAUUCUGACUUGCUUUAGUUUAGUUCGUUCAGUUCCAUUCUGAUGACGGAACGCUCCUGCCCAAUUCAGACCACGUUUUCAUCCUGAUUUGGUUCUACUUUGCUUCAGUUUUGCUCUUUCAUUUUGCCCCCGGAGUUCUUGUUUCGUUCUUCCUAGGUUCUGUUAUAGAUCUCUAUACGAGGAUCUAUGUUUCUAUCCCAGAAGUUCUUCGUUUCGCUCUUCGUGGGUUUGUUUUAGCCUAGAAGUUCUUUGUGUGUUUGUUC